rnacentral:tRNA from 1 species
AGCCUUGAAGUGUUUCCACAUGUCAGAUUGCAAACCUGAAGUAGCAGACUAACCGUCUACCGGGGCUU